rnacentral:rRNA from 1 species
AGUGAACGCUGGCGGUAGGCCUAACACAUGCAGGUCGAACGGCAGCACAGUAAGAGCUUGCUCUUACGGGUGGCGAGUGGCGGACGGGUGAGGUAUACAUCGGAAUCUACUUUUUCGUGGGGGAUAACGUAGGGAAACUUACUCUAAUACCGCAUACGACCUACGGGUGAAAGCAGGGGAUCUUCGGACCUUGCGCGAUUGCAUGAGCCGAUGUCGGAUUAGCUAGUUGGCGGGGUAAAGGCCCACCAAGGCGACGAUCCGUAGCUGGUCUGAGAGGAUGAUCAGCCACACUGGAACGGAGACACGGUCCAGACUCCUACGGGAGGAAGCAGAGGGGAAUAUUGGACAAUGGGGGCAAGCCUGAUCCAGACAUACCGCGUGGGUGAAGAAGGCCUUCGGGUUGUAAAGCCCUUUUGUUGGGAAAGAAAAGCAGCAGGUUAAUACCCCGCUGUUCUGACGGUACCCAAAGAAUAAGCACCGGCUAACUUCGUG